rnacentral:tRNA from 1 species
GGAGGAGUACCCAAGUCCGGCUGAAGGGAUCGGUCUUGAAAACCGACAGGCGGGUCAAACCGCGCGGGGGUUCGAAUCCCUCCUCCUCCACCA